rnacentral:rRNA from 1 species
CGGUACAACGAGUCGCAAGACCGCGAGGUUUAGCAAAUCUCUUAAAGCCGUUCUCAGUUCGGAUUGUAGGCUGCAACUCGCCUACAUGAAGUCGGAAUCGCUAGUAAUCGCGGAUCAGCAUGCCGCGGUGAAUACGUUCCCGGGCCUUGUACACACCGCCCGUCACACCAUGAGAGUUUGUAACACCCAAAGCCGGUGGGGUAACCUUUUGGAGCCAGCCGUCUAAGGUGGGACAGAUGAUUGGGGUGAAGUCGUAACAAGGUACC